GGCUUGUUACAAUUGCCGGGUUUACUAUCCAUACGAACCCCUAAAAAAACACUGUUUUUUUUAAGGGGUUCGUAUGGAUAGUAAACCCGGCAAUUGUAACAAGCCC
rnacentral:sRNA from 1 species